rnacentral:rRNA from 1 species
AACGAACGCUGGCGGCAGGCUUAACACAUGCAAGUCGAGCGCCCCGCAAGGGGAGCGGCAGACGGGUGUGAAACGCGCGGGAACGUACCCUUUGCUACGCAAGAGCACCGGGAAACUGGAAUUAUUACAGUAUGUGCCCUCCGGGGGAAAGAUUUAUCGGGAAAGGAUAGGCCCGCGUUGGUGUAGCUCGUUGGUGGGUAAUGGCCGACCAAGGCGAGGAUCCAUAGCUGGUCUGAGAGGAUGAUCAGCCACAUUGGGACUGAGACACGGCCCAAACUCCUACGGGAGGCAGCAGUGGGGAAUAUUGGACAAUGGGCGCAAGCCUGAUCCAGCCAUGCCGCGUGAGUGAUGAAGGCCUUAGGGUUGUAAAGCUCUUUCACCGGGGAAGAUAAUGACGGUAUCCGGAGAAGAAGCCCCGGCUAACUUCGUGCCAGCCGCCGCGGUAAUAC